AAAAAUUUAGUUAAAAAAUAACAUCAACUUGUCAAGUUGAAAUUACGAUUUCGUAAUUUUUG
rnacentral:tRNA from 1 species